GGGAUUUUAUCUUCAAAAGCACCUCCAUUGCCUGAAGCAAACUUUUGGCCCCUAAGCAUCCUAAGAGACAGAAUGAUUAUUACCUCAGGGCACCAUUGCUCUUACAACAGAUAUUUAGCCUUUGCACCAAGACAUCUAACAGCCCCGCAUCUUGCUUCU